CUCAGGAUGCAGAGUGUGUCAGGAUUUCUCUCCAUGGCCUGGUCCUUCUUGGGCCUCCUCUUGUUCCUCACUUAUCCUUCAGGUUCCUCCUCCCAGCCGGUGAUGACUCAGAGACCCUCAGCAUCCUUUUCCUCAGGUGAGACAGUCCGUCUCCCCUGCACCUUGAAUGCUGGAUACAGUAUCAGCAGCUAUAGGGUCCGGUGGUAUCAGCAGAUAUCAGGUGGUGCCCCACGGUUUGUAUACCACUACUACAGGAGUAGUGAUCAGGGCAGAGGCUCAGGGGUCCCAGGGAGAUUCAGUGUCUCCCCUGAUUCCUCCAACAACCUCUGGAAUUUAGUGAUCACAGGCGCUCAAGCUGAAGAUGAAGCUUAUUAUUACUGUGGCAUGUGGUAUAGCAGCAGCAACAUGUUCCACGGUGGUACAAUCUGA